rnacentral:lncRNA from 1 species
AUAUAUUCAAAUACAGUAAGUUCCAGGAGAAGAAAUGACCUUUAGAGACACCAAGACAGCAGUGGGAGUUUAGGUCCGGUUCUCAACAGAUAGGAGGCGUCCUAGGAUUUUUCCUGAAAUACUGCAAUCACGGUGGUACUGACCCGAUUUCAGUGGACUGCUUCACCUGGAUGAAGCUGCCUCUUGCUAGAAAGCCAAAGGUUCUGUUUCUCGUUUCUUUCCUGCUCGUCUGCUCUGCCUUAACCCUCGCCCCACGCCCAUGUCCAUCAGUGUUCCUCGGGUCACUGAGGGGCAGCUCCACCUGUACUGACAGUUACCCUAUUUCCUCCUAGUGCCCAAGGAGGAUGCAGAGGCGGAGUUUCCUGCUGACACAGUGGAUAAAGAAUCUCCACACACUGAGGUGACCGCAGUAGGAAUGACAAAUGAUUGGGCCUCACAGAGCAUUUCCAAGUCCUACAGUGAAGCUGAAGUCUCUUCAGCAACCUUGUCACUCCCUGCUCUGGUGCACACAGAAGGCUAUGCGGCAGCACCUGAACUUUCCACUGGGUGUGGCAAUCGGGGGGUGUCCACAUGUUCCCUGGAAGUGAACUAUCCCCAAAGUCUUCUGGACAUGGAGGACCUUGACCAAGAAGAACAGGAAAUGUGAGUUUGGAGCAGGAAGAUGGGGGGCAGAGAAAUAAGUGCACAUGGACUUUACUGCUUCACAUUCUUUGUGAUACCUCAGGGAAUCCAACAUAAUGGAGCCCAGAAGUGGAGAGGCUGCCAUCAGCCCUGAUCCAUCAAAUAGACACUAAUGGAUGUUCAGGA